UCAAUUUUGUGACCGUUGUUUGGGGUUCUCAAUUGAUAAACCCAGAAGAGACUUCUCAAUCGAUUUUGUGACCGUUGUUUGGGUUCUCCUCUUCCUUCUCUAAAAGUCCGAGAGAGAGAGCCAUCUCCGAUCCGAUCAGGUUAUGUUGUUAUCAUCUUCUCUCUCUGAAUCUUUCAAUUUUACCAAUCUUUCUCUCUCUCACUCUAUGAUUCUCAUAUAUGUUGCUUCUCCGUCAUCGAAAUUGUCAGCGCGAUCAGGUUAUGUUAUCUCUCUCUCUCGCUCUCUCUCUUUCAAUUUCAUCUCUCUCACGCUCCGCCAUUGAUGAUUCUCAUAUAUGUUGGUACUAGGGUUUUGAUAGGUCCCCUCUUCAAAGAACAACAAGAUCGAUAGUUUGUGUCAUAGGUAAUAUGAUUCUCACAUCUGGUUUAAUCAAGGACGACGAUUCUCCUAAAGAACAAAGAUGAUUUCGUAUCCUUCAAUUUAAAAUUGUUUUGAGAUUUCUGAUUCUGAUUCGUUGGCUCUUCGGCUCAUAAAAAGGAUUUCUAUGGUAUUGUGAUUUCGGUAGGACAUGUAUUUUCUAUUACUAUGAAAUUCAUAAAUGAAAUAGUUAAUCGUGGGGGUUACCAUUACUAUGAAAUUGUUUUGAAAUUUCUGAUUCUCUAAUUCAUAAAAAGGAUUUUCUUGUUUUGUUUUCCGACGGGACUUGAUGGCACAUCGCACGAAGACACGCAUAGUACUAGUCUCGUCUCUUCUAUGGUUUCUCACGGGUUAAGGGGAGCAAUUCGUCUCAGAUUCAGUUUUCUUCCCAAGAAGAUGAAAUAAACUCCAUGGUUCUAAUGGUUGCAAAGAUGAACGAAUAAGAAUGAAUAUGCAUUUUCAUGAUCGUUGAUCAGAACAUAUGAAAGGCUGAAGGUAAAAGAAGCCAUGAGCGAGGCGAAGAGAACAAAUAAGCUCUCUAGAUUCUCUCUUAAAUGUCACCUCACAUGUUUUUAGCGAGUAGUAGAAAAUAAUUUUGGGGUCAGCCAGUCAAUAACGAAGACACAUAUUUCUUGUAAGAAAGAGACGAGAUAGGAAAAGGUAGCUAAUCAAUCUAAAAUCUUUUGCAGUUCUUUGCUUUUGGGUAUAAAAGUAAGUCAACGUUACAUGAUCUUUUGUCAGUUCUUUGUUGCUUUUUAGUUCAAAGAUAUAGACAAUGUGGGUUCCUAACAUAUUAUCUUUGAUUUAGAUGUCUUGGAGACUGAAGACGUGAAUAAACAUGCCUAACCUUAUCAAAAACUUGAUGCCUCUAGUACUUAUAUCUCUUGGGACAGGGAGAGAGAUUGAAAACCGUUCAGAGACAUGAAACUAACUAGCAGUCGAAGUUGUGGAGCAGGAAUUAGUCAAAACAGCUGGGAGAAGGAUGUCAACAACUUGGUACAGGAUAAGCUUAAGUGACACUCAAAUCACGGAUGCUGCUCCAGAAAAUUGUAAAGCUUCAAUAAGCCAGUAAAACAGAGAAGAAAUGCUGAUGAAAAAGAAGCAAAUCAUUUAUCGCUAAGUAAGUUUUAAUUUACUCAAUUCAACCAGAAUAUGCUUAGGUAAAUCACCUAAUACAAGACUACUUAGACACAAUCUCGACUUAAUCUCCAGUUUUUCACAGACUAUAGAUGAAAAACUGCUCUUUAGGCGUUUUCUGGUUAGAGUUUACAGAGACCUCGAGACUCGAGCUGAGAUGAUGAUGUCCACAUCAAUUUGAAACUAAAGGAUCCCUUGAAGCCUAAACAACAAAUAUCUGCCUACAUUAUUACGAGAGGAGUGCGCUGCUUUAAGAGAAUUUGAGAUAAAGAUGAAUCGGAGAAGAGUGGAAGAACUUGUCUGCAAAAUGAAAGGGUCUCUAAGAAAAGGAAACUAAAGGAUCCCUUGAAGCCUAAACAACAAAUAUCUGCCUACAUUAUUACGAGAGGAGUGCGCUGCUUUAAGAGAAUUUGAGAUAAAGAUGAAUCGGAGAAGAGUGGAAGAACUUGUCUGCAAAAUGAAAGGGUCUCUAAGAAAAGGAAACUAAAGGAUCCCUUGAAGCCUAAACAACAAAUAUCUGCCUACAUUAUUACGAGAGGAGUGCGCUGCUUUAAGAGAAUUUGAGAUAAAGAUGAAUCGGAGAAGAGUGGAAGAACUUGUCUGCAAAAUGAAAGGGUCUCUAAGAAAAGGAAACUAAAGGAUCCCUUGAAGCCUAAACAACAAAUAUCUGCCUACAUUAUUACGAGAGGAGUGCGCUGCUUUAAGAGAAUUUGAGAUAAAGAUGAAUCGGAGAAGAGUGGAAGAACUUGUCUGCAAAAUGAAAGGGUCUCUAAGAAAAGGAGAUAUAUAUGGAACAUGCGGAAAAAAGUAGAAGAAGCAAGAGCGAGAAGAAGAGCAUAAAGAAGAAUUCCAAAUUCUCAAGGAAGGGAAAACCAACAAUGCCACUAAGGUUAGUUACUUAUCCCACGAGCUGCCAAGGGCUACAAGACAUGUGUAUAGACAAAGGUAGAGCUCAAUAUCUUAUGGAAUUGAUGGUCACGACAAUCUUGAUAAAACGUGUUUCUAGUCAUGUAGGUUUUCACAUGGACAUGAACAUUAAUGUCAAAUUGGUUUUCAGGUAUAUUAAUGGUUCCUAUCUAAUCCGAUCAUCCAUAUUGAGUAUAGAGAGUAUUGGUAAUGAGACUUACAAAGGGAAACUUCUUAUAUAAAUGUCAAAUUGGUUUUCACAUGGACAUGAACAUUAAUGUCAAAUUGGUUUUCAGGUAAAUUAAUGGUCUUGUUCCUAUCUAAUCCGAUCAUCCAUAUUGAGUAUAGAGAGUAUUGGUGAUGAGACUUACAAAGGGAAACUUCUUAUAUAAGAAGGCUGCCUUGCGAGAGGUUAAACAAUUUUUGAGGUAAGUAACGUGAACUCUUAAAGCUAAUUUGUGCGGAUAAAUUGUUAGUACAGGUUGCAGAGAUGAAUCGGAGAAGAGUGGACGAACUUUUCAGCUGAACAAAAGAAAAGGUCUUGUCCCAUAUCAACUGUGUGAAUCAAUUUCUAAUCUGUUUGCAUAUUAUUGAACAAGGUGAUAUAUAUGGAAGGCAAUGAAAGGCUGAAGGUAGAAGGAAGCCAUUAGCGAGGGGAAGAGAACAAAGAAACUCUCUAGAUUCUCUCAAUAAAGGGAAAAUUGUAAAUGUCACCGAGGUUAGUAUCUACCUCACAUGUUUUUAGCGAGUAGUAGAAAAUCAUUUUGGGGUCAGCCAGUCAAGAACGAAGACACAUCUUUCUUGCAUAAGAAUGAGACGAGAUAGGCAAAGAUAUGUCUUAAAGACUGAGAACGUGAAGAAACAUGCCUAACCUUAUUAGAAACUUGAUGCCUCUAGUACUUAUAUCGCUUCCUCUCAUGAAAAGCCUUUUUCUUGGGACAGAGAGAGAAAUUGACAACCGUUGAGAGACAUGAAUCUAACUAGCAGUCGAAGUUGGGGAGUCAAAACAGUUGAGAGAAGCUUGGUAACAUUAAGAACGUAAGGUUGUUGCAGGGUUGCAAAGAUGAACGAAGAAGAAUGGAAGAACUUGUCUGUGGAACAAAAGGAUCCCUAAGAAUUUGCUGACAGAAACCUGAAUACAGGCAUGUAUGUAACGGUAUAUUUCUCUAAGUCAAUUUAUACAGUUCUGAUUGAUUAAGUCUAUUUAUACAGUUCUGAUUGAUUUUGUUCAAGCUACUCAUAACAUAAGUCUCGUAUAUUCUAUAUCCUUAAAUUUUUUGGUUGCU